rnacentral:lncRNA from 1 species
GUUGGUACCUGCUCCAAAGCUACAGGACAAGAUUUUUUGUCAGUGUUUAAUAUUUAAACUAGGAACUAAGCAAAGGUUCCUCUAUUUAACAGUCACUAACCAGCACCUCAGAAAGAAGUAAGCAGCAGUUUUUUGUUAUUAUUAUUUACAUAGAACUUUCAAAGAUCAUAAAUAUUAACUUACCUUCAAUGUCUUUCUGUGAAAUUUCAUUUUCCAUACUGAUCCAUUAAGGUCUGAAGUUUCUGAACUGUUGUUAAUGCUACCAGGUGGAUGCAAGCUUGGAUUCUAUCCCUUCUCAACUUCUUGUAAACUCUGAAAUCUGUAAAGGAGGUCAUGAAGAAAGGAUAUCUGGAGUCAACUUGGCUCACACAUCCUAGUCCAGAAGAGGCACUGAUUCAGCUGGAUGGGACACAGCACUCAUUGCUGGAGGCUCUGAAGUUUCCAAAGAGAUUAAGGUCGAGAAAGUAUAUAAAUGAUAACUUUGAUGACAUUUCUGGAGGAUGAAGAGCAGCAAUGAUAACUGAGACUAUACGUGUGAGUGCCAUUCAAAAGGGCUUAGGAAAUAUCAGUCACACCCUGAGGGUACAUCUAAUCUGGACUGCACUCCCUGCUCCUAGUCAAUACACAUUUCAUCAUGUCAUCCAAGCUGAUUGCCAAGAAUCCUUCCUACUGAAUCAUAUAUUUCUGAGCUGCCAUCACUCCAAACUGCAUGGCUGCCAUGUUCACAUCUACUGGUGUCAGCACUGCAAAAGGAGAUGAGAAAGAUCCUUAUCCCCAUUUGACAACCCUCUCCUGGACCAGAACAGAAGCACAUGGAUCCUAUCCCUCCUUCUUCCCUCCUUUAGCAAAGUCGGACAUAACUGGAGCAGAAGCUUCAACAGACAUAGCAGCAGACUCCUGUUCAAGUGCUCUGAAGAAAGGGUAAGGAAAGUGAGAGUUCAUGUGGUAAAAUAACAAAACAAAUAUCUGAAUGGCCACAGAGUGCAUGUUGUGAUUUGAGAGGUUUGUGGUUUUAAAUAAAGUAUAAAUGAGCAAUAAGAUUAGAAACUUCAUUUGUUAAAGUUUGCAUUUCCC